rnacentral:rRNA from 1 species
UANGCCUUGACAUACUACAGAAUUUGACAGAGAUGUUGAAGUGCCUUCGGGAGCUGUAAUACAGGUGCUGCACGGCUGUCGUCAGCUCGUGUCGUGAGAUGUUGGGUUAAGUCCCGCAACGAGCGCAACCCUCGUCCUUAGUUACUAACGGUUUGGCCGAGGACUCUAAGGAGACUGCCUUCGUAAGGAGGAGGAAGGUGAGGACGACGUCAAGUCAUCAUGGCCCUUACGGCUAGGGCAACACACGUGCUACAAUGGUUAGGACAAUGAGAAGCGAUACCGCGAGGUGGAGCAAAUCUAUAAACCUAAUCUCAGUUCGGAUAGCAGUCUGCAACUCGACUGCUUGAAGCUGGAAUCACUAGUAAUCGUAAAUCAGCUAUGUUACGGUGAAUACGUUCCCGGGUCU